GGCGACGUAGCCAAGUGGUAAGGCACGGCUCUGCAAAAGCUGUAUGCAGCGGUUCAAAUCCGCUCGUCGCCU
rnacentral:tRNA from 1 species